rnacentral:rRNA from 1 species
UACGUAGGGGGCAAGCGUUGUUCGGAAUUACUGGGCGUAAAGGGCGCGUAGGCGGCACGGCAAGUCAGGAGUGAAAGGCCUGGGCUCAACCGAGGAACUGCUUUUGAGACUGCCGAGCUAGAGUGCAGAAGGGGCAACUGGAAUUCCCAGUGUAGCGGUGAAAUGCGUAGAUAUUGGGAAGAACACCUGAGGCGAAGGCGGGACGACCCUGGUCCG